CCGGAGGCUGCCAUCUCCAGUCCUACCCACUCCGACGCUGGCUGGUGCCGGGGGCCGGGACGCUCCGUACGCCGCCCGCCAGGGUGUGGAGCCGCACUGGGGCAAGAUCAGGUGGGACAGCCCAAAGACUCCGGGCCAAGUUCCUGGGGGACUCGGCGGAGAUGGAAGAUGAUUCUCGAAGCUCUCCAUUUCCUUAAUUUUGAGUUAUCUUCAGUCCUUCUUCAAUGCUGUGACUGAGUGCUUGCUGAUUAUUGUGCUUGCUGAUCCUGACUAAUACUCUCUCUUGAUGAGCUUCAUAUUCAUCACGACUUGGAUAAAUUUUGCUGAUGAGUGCAUCAAACUUUGGGUCUGGCCUUGGUGAUCUUUUGGAAACUAGUUUUUUCCAACAGUUGGUUGGAUCUAGGAUGUAAACUGCAAGUGUGGCAGGCCGACUGCACUGUUUUGUUACUAGAGGGAGUGAGAACACACCUGUGGACUUGAGCACCUUCCAUUCACCAGUUGCUCCAUGGGCAUACUCUAAUUCAGGUCUCCCCACAACCCUCUGAGUUAAUAUUUCUCUCCCCAUUUUAAAGAUGAGAAAAUAAAGCCUAGACAGUUUAACUUGGCUUCUGUUUUGAAACUAGCUGAGAGAUGAAUUAGGCUUUGAUCCAUGUCU
rnacentral:lncRNA from 10 species